GAUGAACGCUGGCGGCGUGCCUAAUACAUGCAAGUCGAGCGAACGGACGAGAAGCUUGCUUCUCUGAUGUUAGCGGCGGACGGGUGAGUAACACGUGGAUAACCUACCUAUAAGACUGGGAUAACUUCGGGAAACCGGAGCUAAUACCGGAUGAUAUUUUGAACCGCAUGGUUCAAAAGUGAAAGACGGUCUUGCAGUCACUUAUAGAUGGAUCCGCGCUGCAUUAGCUAGUUGGUAAGGUAACGGCUUACCAAGGCAACGAUGCAUAGCCGACCUGAGAGGGUGAUCGGCCACACUGGAACUGAGACACGGUCCAGACUCCUACGGGAGGCAGCAGUAGGGAAUCUUCCGCAAUGGGCGAAAGCCUGACGGAGCAACGCCGCGUGAGUGAUGAAGGUCUUCGGAUCGUAAAACUCUGUUAUUAGGGAAGAACAUAUGUGUAAGUAACUGUGCACAUCUUGACGGUACCUAAUCAGAAAGCCACGGCUAACUACGUG
rnacentral:rRNA from 1 species